rnacentral:rRNA from 1 species
UACAGAGGUCUCGGGCGUUAGGCGGAAUCACUGGGCUUAAAGCGUGUGUAGGUGGAUGCCUAAGUACCUUGUGAAAUCCCACGGCUCAACCGUGGAACUGCUUGGUAUACUGGGUGUCUUGAGCCAUCUAGGGGCUACCGGAACAAAUGGUGGAGCGGUGAAAUGCGUAGAUAUCAUUUGGAACGCCAAUGGUGAAAACAGGUAGCUGGGGAUGUGCUGACGCUGAGACACGAAAGCCAGGGGAGCGAACGGG